rnacentral:rRNA from 1 species
AACGAACGCUGGCGGCGUGCCUAAGACAUGCAAGUCGUGCGGAAAGGCUCCUUCGGGAGUACUCGAGCGGCGCACGGGUGAGUAACACGUGGGUAAUCUACCUGAGGGUCUGGGAUAACUCCGGGAAACUGGGGCUAAUACCGGAUGAGACCACAGCGUCUUUGGACGCAGCGGUCAAAGAUGGCCUCUCCUUGGAAGCUAUCGCCUACAGAUGAGCCCGNGUCCCAUAGCUAGUUGGCGGGUAACGGCCCACCAAGGCGACGAUGGGUAGCUGGUCUGAGAGGAUGAUCAGCCACACUGGAACUGAGACACGGUCCAGACUCCUACGGNGGCAGCAGUCGGGAAUUUUGGCAAUGGCGAAAGCCUGACCCAGCAACGCCGCGUGAGGGA